rnacentral:ncRNA from 2 species
CGCGCUUCCCCGGGGGGCCGCGCCGAAGCGGCUGAGAGGCGGCUGAAGUCGCGACCCGCUGAACCUGAUCCGGCUGACUACCGGCGGAGGGAGGGAGCGGCCGCAUCGU